CGGGGUUUUAUUUUUUAAAUGAAAUUCUGCUGGGCUUCAGAGAUUGAAUCUCUUUAUCAGCAAAGCCUUUGAAAUCGAGCGCUAUGCGAACGCCUGUUUUGAAGGAAUCCUUUAAAGCCAAAAGACUUGCUGCUGCCUGACUGGGGAUCUGAGGCCCUAGGAAAGAAAAAAUAAAGCCUGUGGAGAGGCAGCAGGGUGUCUGCACUCUGGGAAGUAAAACAAAAGUCUUCAAAUCUACAAGAAGUUCUCCAUUAGCUGUGUGUUUUUCUCUAAGGAAAUUAUUGCUUUUUAAUCUGCCAUUCAUCUCAUCCACAGAGGAACAAAGUGGAUUUUCAGGUCAGAUACUGCUCUUACAAAUCAAUAAGACGUUGUUGAAAAGUUGGAAUUUGAAAGGUAUGGUAGAAAUUAUAUGUAUGUGACUUCUGUGUAAAUGAUGUACUUAAAUCUGUGCAAUAUUGAGAGAUGUUUGAAUCUGAGUGCGUUCUUGGCUGGACCCUACAAGUGAAAGAAAUGAAGUCACAGAGACUGCUUGUUUUUGUCAAGGAGGUGUGUAAGAUGUUUUUGUUUCAGGCAACUUAUUCCUUGAGGUAAUGAAUAUCAGUGUACAUGAAGAAACUGGGUCAUACUCUAUUAGGUUUUGCAGAAAUAUAAUAAGCAAAAAGUGGAUGUUCUAACAGCCUGUAGAAAUUGAACUGUAAGGCUGGGAGUACUUGGGAUGCAUGAACAAGACUCGGCUGUAUUGUGGGAAUUAACUUUGUAUCCUGAUAAUGCAGAUGCUUUUUUGGAAUUGAUCUGAAAUAUAAAUAAUUGAUUUUUCAAAAGUAAAUCUUCUAAAAAUGAAAGGAAGAAGUCUCCUGUUAAAACUCGACAAGGAAUACAUUAUUUUAAUUGAGCUCCUAAACUGGUAUUUGAGUAAUGGUAGUUAUCACACAUACUCCAAAGACGCUCCAAAGAUGAACUCUAGGCUGGCCAAGAAGGCAUUGGGCCACUUUGUGGCUUUUUUUUCCCCACGCAGUAUAAGCUUCAAAAACUGUCUAUUGCCCCGUUUGACUUUUAUGUGGACUGAGAUGAUGGGAGCUGGCUACUACUAGUCAAGCAUUAAAUGUCCUUCAUUUCUCCUGAUCAUUUGUACUUGUUAGGCCGUAGCCAGCUUGUGAGGUGUUCGGGCUGUGGGGAUAUUUCUAUGCUGUGAUGUUUGUUUCCGUCCUGAUUGAAAAUUACUUUAAUUAAAGCUUGUUCCCUGGUUUUCUGCUCCUCAUAAAUGCAGUGAUUCUGGAGUAGUUUAAUGACAUAUAUUUUGAAAAAUGCUGAUUAUCAAGUCUGAUUUUUCUUUUUGUGCCAAUGUGUUGCUUCUGACAACAUCUUCUGAUUGGAACAAGACUUUGUACAAAAAUGCUUAAGCAGCUGCAUUUUCAUGAAUAUAUUAUUAAUUUCAUUACUUCAUUUAUUCUUCCUGUGAUGAAGACCUGAAACCAGUUUUUAAUCUGAAAUGUAAAACUUAUUGUUUAUAUGUAUAUGUAUAUAUAUUUAUAUACACAUACGCACAUACGCCUAUAUAGAUAUGCUUCUCCAUGCAAAUUUAAGACAAACCUUGACAUUUUAUAUAUAUAUAUUUUUUUUUCUUUUAAUGUCUUGGGCAAUUUGUUAUACAGGAAAUAUGCCAUGAUUCAUCCAUUCUAAUAGACUCCACCUCCAACUAGGGCUGAAUUUUCCGUCUUUUGAAGAAUUUCAUGCCGUUAACAAUGUACAUUUAGACUACGUAAACUUACUUCCUGAGUUUCCUUUCCUUUCCUGGCAGUGCUAAGUUAACAAAGCAAAAGGCUUCAGAACAAAACAUUUUCUUGACUUGGAGGCUCCUUGCAAAUGUUUCAUUCCUCAAACUGAGCUCUUUCCUGCUUAAAACUUUCGUAACUUGUUUGGAACUUAAUGAGCCCCACAUGUCCUGGCUCCCAGCACCAGCCAGCCUGCAGCAGCAGAACAGCCCUCCUGCUCUGCACAGGGUCAUGAAAAAUAUCAGUCUUCCCCAGUACUUUUUUGAAGUCUUUUUAUUUUUUGUUUAUGCUCUGAGGACUCUAUUUGCUGGUCAGCUGACCCCCUAAAUUCAAAACUGAAUUUACGACGCAGAAAAUCUCCCGUGUAGUUAUAAAGACAGCAGACAAAAUAGCACUCCAGUAGUGCUCCAGACUCUCUUGGAUUCUCAUGAAAUAUGAUGCCAAGGCUGAAGUUUUAGACCUGAUAAAAACUGUCCACAGGACUUUUCGAUUGUUCCAGAAAAUCUACUUUCCUUUGCACCAGCACAAUUACAAAGGACAAAGUCACAAGUGUGGCACCCACUGUGAAUGGCAAAGGUUUGGUGGAAGGUGGUUCCUGGCCAGACAGGUUUACAACAAUAAUGUAUAGAAACAGACAAUAACCUAUUUUAAAAUGUGUAUGUGUACAUGUCUAUAUAUGCUCAUUUAUGAACUACUUUGAAGACAUUUCAGAAAUCAUACCAAGGAACAGUAGAGAAGCAGCAAAACCAACUCAUUUGAUAAAGCGAAAGGGAGUGUAAGAUAAGUAAAUGAAAUACCAUGGUAAAAGGAAAAGAAAAACAAUCCCUGAAAUCUCAAAAACAGUGCUGACAUGUAGACUUUUCAUAUGUAUUUUCCAUAUUGAGGUAGAAAUUCAUAUCUAGCUAUGUAGGUAUUCUCUGUUUCUACUCCAGAAGUUGCUCUUAGCAUUUGUAUGCCAUAACAACGCUAUAAGCCACAGGAAGCUCUGAGAUUCACUAAAGUAAUUUAGAAAAAACAAAUUAGCUAAGGGAAUGGUCAAUGGUUUUAAUUACUUUUUUUUUUUUUUUUUUCCCCCAAUUAAAAAGGUAUGGUGAAAUUCAUACUGGGUAGAAAAAAAUGUUUAGCUAAUUGGGAGAGAAGUCUUCCUUCUUGGGAUCUGUUUAACCAGCACAAACCAGAAGCCAAACUAACGCAUGCAAUCCUAUUUCUUUCUAAAUUCGAUCCGUUACAAAAAUGCGUACCUUAAGGGUAAUUCUCUAUGAUUCUUAUGGGAUAACAGAGUGUAUCAGACACUUUCAGUAUUAACAUGAUAUAGCAGGAAAAAAAAAAUGGCUGAAAGAACUGCCUCAGCCAUCAAUUUUGGGAAGCAAAGUCAGAUUGUAUCGGCUGUGAAAUAUGUGCGCUACACUUGCCUUAUGUAGUAUACAGCAUUCAGAAGCAAGGUCCCUUCAAGGAAAAUAUUUGGGACUGUGAGAUAACUUUAAGGGCGUAUGUUUUCAGGCUUGGAUUUAUUUGUCAAUCCCUACAACUGCAAAACUGCAAAAACCAAGUUAUUUACAGCAUGCAGCGGGACAGAGAUGUAAGUAAGCUUGGUGUAUUUCUUACCUAAAUACAUAUCUUUUAUUAAAUAAUUAUUUCAUUUAAAUCUAUAUAUUCUUAUAAUAUGUUAGAAGGAGUUAAGCAUUACCUGGCAUAUCAUUGUGCAUAGCUAGCUGGAAUAUACAUUUGGUUUCUUCAGCUUCUUUCAUCAUUUGCAAAAGAACUGAAUUUCUUCCCUCUGACAAUCAGGAUAGCCACUCAUUGGCUUUUUAUUCACACUGAGGAAAGGACAUUGAUGAAAUCCUAAUUGUUCUAGGUAACAAGCAUGAAGACUGCAUAAUGCUAUAGUAAAGUUAUUUGUCAUCAGAAAGUGGAAAGACAAUGCCUGAGCCUGCUCUGUGAUGAGCAUCAUAAAAUCCCUUCACCUACAAUAGCUGAUAUGCUAAUAACUAUAAAUCUUUAAGAUGAUAAAAAGAAGACUUGUGCAGAUAUAUCAAGAAAAAAUGUUUGACUUUUCUUUCUCACAGUUUGUAAAGAGAUAUUUGCUCUUAUAUUUAAGGCUUUAUUUUUCUUAGUAAUGUAGGUGUCCAGGCAGCUGGGUAGAAUGAACUGAGAGCUCUUUCCUCCCAGGCUUUCAAUAUUUUAAUGUUUAGAAUUUCAGGGAUUCAGAAGCACAGAAAGGGUUUUAAAUGCUCAUGUUUUUCUAACCAGAGUUUAUGCAAAAACUUGUUAGUUUUCUGAAAAGUUAUUGUACACAGGAGUGCACGUGAGAAUUUCUCCUGAGUCUUUAAAUCCCCCUACUAGAGCAGAAGCAGAUAUUGCUUGCAUUUCUACCUUCCUAUUCUUCAAGUUGUAAGUAUAAUCUGUGCAAACUGAUCAAAACAGAACUAGAAAAUUAUUAAUAUAAUAUUAUAUUCCGUUUACACAUUCCAGGUGAUCUUCUGCUUUUAUUUUUAUUAAGUGUAGUCAAAAGAGGAAUGACAUUGACACAUCUCUCAUUUUCUUUCAUCAUUCAUUGUUUCUGCCUCUCUUCUACACUUAUUUUCCUAAAAACCUGUUCCCACCACUACCCAGAAGGUUCAUCACUUGCUAUUUCCCAGAUAUUCCUCCUUGCACUUUGCCACAUGUAGCUGAUGUUCAAAUCCAGCUAGACCAUCCCCUUUCCAAAGAUCCCUUCCUCACUUCUGUGGUCUUGCUUGUGGUCAGAUUUCCAGCAACAGUGGAUUCUUUCCAUCAUUUCCAAUCUCGUAUUAUUUUGGCAUGUAAACAUGCAAAAUAAAGUUGUUAUUAACUUUUUUUUACCCAAGACUUUGGCUUCCUGCUUUGAUUUCGCAGUUAACGCUGUUUCUGUGUUUCCCUCAUUCUCAUUUUAAUCUUUUUUAUGUUAUGCAUAAUAUAGAUUUUACUGUGUAUUUGUAAUGUGUAUGUCUCCCCUUCCACUCUGAUGUUUGCUUUGUUUUGUUUUGCUGCUGUUUUUUUUUAAUGAGUAUGUGGAAGUUAAUGUAUAUAUAUACUUCCAGUUUGGGAAUGUUGGGUUUCAGCACAAUAGUAUGGUGUGUAUCUACUUCUGUUAUUUGUAUGCACAGUGCUCAUGGUUGCAUACGCAGUUGCUGUUGUCAUCAGUAAAAUUCAUUGCUUGUAGGGAGAUGGUGGUUAUUGUCUGGGCAGUCCAAAAUACCAUGAAAGCAAUUUUGCAUAAUGACACAAAGCCACCCGUUAGAAAUGAUAUAUGCCACAUAGCAAGGCAGGCAUACCAACUGGGAGCCUGAGAACUGAAAACUACCAUGAGUUAGUAUAUUUUUUCAAUUUUCAACAAAAAGUAACUUGGUGGAAUUUUUGUUAAGAAGUCUGGAACAAAGAUACCUACUAGCACUUGUCUGUUAACAAAGUCAUGCUGACUUUGUAUGAUUCACAUGAAAAUUUAUAUAGGUCUUUACUUUAAGGCUCACUUUCAGUUUAUUAUACAGAUUUUCUUCCUUUUGGAGUAGUUAUUAUUCUUAUUUUAAAUACACAUUGCAUGGAUUUUGUUUAAAAUAUGUCAGGUUUCCAUGGUUUUACAACGUUAGGUAAAAACCCCAUGUAUUUUGCAAGUAGAUUUUACAGUAGGUUGGUUGUCCUGCAAAAUGCUAACGCUAACAAUGAGAUGUCAGAGACACCUUUUCUCUCCCUCUCUUCUCUCUCUUACUCACCCCUCUAUUUGUGUAUAUAUCAUGGAAACCUGACAAUCUCCAGGGUGCUCAGCUCCAAUAAACUAAUCUCACAAUUCAUGCAUUACAGAAGAUCUGUGAAAAAUAGUUAGCCAGUUUUCUGUUGUGAUGUGGGGGCACCAUAAAUUAAACUUAGGAACUGGAGAAGAGUUAACAAUCAGAUUUGUCAGAGGCAAAGCACCAUGAAGACUCCUUCUCAUUUCAUAAACGUAUAGAUCAUGAGACUAGGUAUAUAGCUUGGUUGAUAUAAAUCAAUCAUUUUGGCCUCAUUUCCACAUGGAUAAGGCUAAGGCUCAUGUAUAUAUAUACACACACAUAUAUAUAUAUAUUCCUUUUUUUCUUUCUGAAAAAAAGACAAAUUCCUCCAUCUGAGUUGUUGCAAUUAUAGUGCAAACACCUCUAUUGUAUUUCAGGGAAACAAAUCAAUUUAUAAAAAUGAUUUUCCCUCAGUUACACUCAAUUUUAGCAAAUGGUACAUAAAUCUGGCACACUUCAUGAGCCAUACACUGAGAAAAGGCUUAUCUCAUUCAUUUAAUCCUAUUAAAAAUGAGGACUUGUGUUCCCCAUGCAUUCAUUGGUGACAGCAGAAUUUGGCCCAGUGGCAGAUGUCUUGGGAGGUGGACUUUACAGGUGCAAUCAAGUCAGUUAAUGUAUCCAGUCCAGGUGAGCCCACAAGUACAGUACUUUCUAUGUCCCUUUCUGCCUACUGGUGCCAAAGAGAGCGCAGCACAUUCCCUAAUGGUACAAACAAAUCAAACCAUCUGACCUGUCAGGUUUUAAUGUACCGAAAUGAAGCUUGAAGCAUAGUUACGAGAACAAUGUCUGCUUGAAGUCCUAGUUAUGGGCCAUAACUGCUUGAAGUCCUAGUUAUGGGCCAUAACCAUGUUGAAUUACUAAUGAGUCAGCUGCUUGUCACGGCUGAGGGCUGUUUGACCUGGGUGGAAAUGAGAAACUGAAUGUGAACAGAACUUAGUUAGAAAGAUAUAAGCUAUAACUUCAAAAAUUAAACCCUUAAAAUAUUAUCAGCUGCAAAUGUGAGACAUGCCUGUGAUCUAGGAGUUUCUAUCUACGAGUCUCCACCAAGGAGUUUCCAAAUUUGAUCUAGAUUCAGUAAUAUACACUCUGGCUGAAAUUAAACCAUUAACUCAUCUAUGCGCAUGGAUACCUCAUUCAGCAGGCUCCUUCCUUAUGCUCCUACCAACAAAGAAGAUGGAGCUUAUUGUCAGCUAUAAAAAAAAGCCAGUGUUAGUCAGCUGAGGGAAGUAUUCUUUGGCAUCCCUAAAUCAACUGAUGUGAUCCCUAAUGAAAAUAAUAAUCAACAGAUGAAGCAUUUUCCUCUGAAAUAUGCCAACGUCUUACUAGCACGGACACCCUAAAGAAAAGACACCUAUGAACAACUAUUACAAAUAGCUGAAAAAUUGCAAAAGUAACUUAUGGAGAUUCAUUACAAAGACCUUUUCACUAAACUUCUUGUUUCUCUAAAAAUUUUACAUGUACAUAAAUACAUACUUUAUAUAUGUGUAUAAUGCCUGCAGCUUGCUCCAUUACAGGGUUUACAGAGUUAUGUUUGGAAAAUAAGUGUAUGAGUUAAGAGGACCAUGCUUCAGUACCAGUCCAGUUAUUGCUAUUUUCUCAUUUAGAAACUUUCUGUAAAAGAAAUGCCAGCUGCUUCAUUGCAUCAUACUGAAGUGUUCCAGGGUCUGACAUAGAUGUUUUGGACCUCAGAAAGGGGGAAAAAAAAUGUGGGUGUACCCAUGUUUAUGCAGCCUGGUGAGAGAAUGCAUUCCAUUAAGUUAAGGUUAUUUUGGAAUAGUCUUGCGUAUUUAAUUGAAUUGACAUCUGAUUGAAGCAGAAAUGUUUCUGACAGAUGAAAAUUGUGUCAGACUGAAAUGUCUCAAGAAAAGCAAAACACAUUUUUGAUAUAUUCUCUGUACACGUCAUAUCUUUUUGCUGGCCACAAAGAAUUUCAUUUUUAUAAUACAAAAGCAACACAACUCUUUCAUUUGAACUAAUGGGGUUCUAAUGAAUUUUAUGAAUACUAAUACACACACAAUACGUUUCAUACAGUUGGGCCAUAGUGCACUAUUUCUAAAAUGGGUCUGCACAAAUUAACUUUGAAGGGUGUCUGUGGCAGCCUUUCAUCCAUUAACUGCCUGGUGUGAGCCCCCACAACAGCUGAUUUCAGAGUUAACCCCGCCUGAUUCUUGCCAGUGGAAAUUUGCCAAAAUGAUUACAUCAACUUUCAAUAAACCACAUGUGCGUGACAACAGUAAGCAAACAAUUACUUAAAACCCUAUAAUAUAAUUUGUAAUUUGACAUAAUAGACUGUUCUUUCAGGGUUCACAUUUCCAUGACAAAGCCACAAGAACUGGGGCAGUUCUGCAAACAAGCAUGCACUCUGAGUAUCAGCAAGAGAAGUGCCCUUGGCCCUCCUCUCCUCCAGGCUCUGGGUUUGCACAACCACAGCGGUGCUUGGAACCAGCCAUCAUUUUGGGAAGCUCACCAGAAUGCGACCGCUUCUUUCAUUUUAGCUCUGCGGGAUGGCAAUGCCCAGCUUGUGUUUUGCCUAACAAGACAGCGAGGGGGCUGAGGAAAAUAAACCUGUAGUAAUGAUUUAUGGAAACAAUAACACUGCUCUGAGUUCUAAAAACAUCUGAAAAUAAAUGUCAUGCCCUCACCUCAUCCCCAGCUCUGCAUGACAUUUUCCAUCCUCUGGUGUUACAAAGAGCGAGCAGAGACAGAGUCUCAGGAAAGAAAUGUGGUGGUAAAUGUAUUUCUGCUUAAAUCUAGUUUUUUUCAGUGAGGUCACAACUUGCUAUCUAUGCAACAUUCAAAAGCUGUAAGAUUACUGCACAUUUGGGCCUUGAAGCCCUUCUGUUUUCUUUAUUCAAAGACUGAGAGAGAUCCUUUACUUCUGUUCAGGAGGUAGAUCAGCUUAAAUUCUCGUUCUCUUUCUCCUUCCCCGCCUCCCUUCUUUUAGCUGAGUGAUUUAUUUUAAAAAACUGUGACUUCUCUAAUUUUCCAUUUAUGGGCAAGGGGUUCUUUGAAGCAGUAAAAGGACAUGGGGCCAGCAAGGAGGAAUCAGGCAGCAUCUAUUGUAGGAAAAUGAAAAAUAAUUGCAGUUUUAUGUGGGGUGAGGACACUUAAAGGAAUGCAAAGGCUUUAUCUGCAGAUAUGUGUUAACAUUUUGUUUAGUCUAUGGCUGUCAGAGGAAGAUGUCAAUUAACUCUGACUUUCUCUAUAUCCUAAAGAGUAAAAGUCUCAUUUUUAGUCUGUUUUCCAAAUUAACUCAAAAUCAGAAAGUAGAGUUUGUCUGUUCAUAAUGGCAAAACAAACAAACAAACAAACAAAAAACAAAAUAAAUCAAAAGUUUGUCACAACUUUGAAUGUGUCUGGGAUUAUGGAAUAAGAGCAGUAGCACUCUGUAACGUCUUCUGAAGCACUGAAAAAGCUUAUAAGAUACUUACCAAAAGUAUACAAAAGCGUAAAAACAAAUAAGGCUAUUUUUGCAAUACAGUGACCUUCUUACAGACUUUACUAUGAACACUGAAAGUUUAUCGUUGGUGCCGUGCUAAGGCCAUUGAUUUUAGGCUGUUAGUAGCUGUUAUGUCACUUUGCUUCUCCACCCCUGAGCAUGUCCCUGUGCAAACCAUUUUUGCAGUCCCUUGGCCUGGACUUGGAGAAGAGGAGCCCGAGCGCUCCGAUGAAUGGCAAUGAGCAUUGUCAGGGAGGCAGGAAAAUUGAGUCCCGGCUCUGGCUGCCAGGUCAGGAGCUGCAGGAGCUAAUUGUGUCAAUGGUAAUGAGACUGAGCAGGCAGCAGAUGCUCACGUGCCUUUACAAUCCAAAUCCCACCAACAAAUUCCUCCCACAGAAACUUUAAGGGACGUCUUGGCACCCUGGAGAUGGUGAUAGACCCGGUCUCAGCCACAUGCCACCUGCUAGAGCCAUUGUUUAAAUAAAGGAGAAAAAAAAAGAAAGCCUAUUAUGAUAACAAAGUUGUUUGCUGUCUCUUGCAAUGACUUUAUGGCACCAGUUUUUACCAUACUGCAUGUACUGAAAAAGAAAAGGAAAAAAAAGGAACAUCUGAUUCUUUAAAGAGAAACAGUUGUAUUGAGCACUGUUAACAACUUACUUGGGAAGCCGGAUGUUCAGUAUAUGUUACAUAUUCUGCUGAUAAACCAUGCUUGCCUUUUUCCCAUUACAGCUCCCACUGUGCCUGCUUCCUACAGCAGGUUUACAUUUCCACAUGUUUUCCCAUGACAUAGAAGCGGGGAGCAUUUCUUUACUCCUUUUUUUUUUUUUCCUUUUUUUUCCCAGCAAAAUCAAGAACAUAAAAUGCAGAUACCCAUGUACAGUGCUGUAUAAAUAUUUAUUGUGAAAUAAAACAAACUGCAUGGCUGGUCCUGACUCUUGGAGCAGGAUGGCUGGUGAGCUGUGCGUAAGGUUUUGAAGAAGGGGAAGGCCACCAGCACCAUGUUCCCCUGCUGGCCAUGGUGUGUAACACAGGAUUGCUAGAUGGGGCCACGUGGAGAGGUUCCGAUUCUUGCAGGAAAUCUCUGCCCAAGAAUGUCUGUUUCUGAACAAGUCUGACCAAGUGUCCUUCACUGCCAUUGGAAAUUGAGCCCAGCAUUGCUAUUGCGCUCCUAUGAGGCUCAGACCACGAGCGUGACCGGUGUCCUCGGGGUGAGCUGGUCACAGGCAGCUGCUGGCAGGGGGUGCAGAUGAGUGGAUCUGGACUGCUUGGCUUAGGCUGUCAGGGGAAGAUUGAAGACAUGCUUUGUCUGGUCUGAAGAUACUUGAAGCAGCAAUUAUGCUCCUUUUUUAAACUCCCAGGGGUAGUGGAGAAAGUUAAAGUUGCUUAAAAAGCUUGGUUUGAGCUGGUAAUUUAACAGAGUGUGCAUUGUAGCCCAGGCUAAAUUCACAUCUACACCAAACUUCAACCCCUUCCUUUACAAAUCCUCACUCUUGUGAAGAAAAGAAUCACAAAUGUAGCUACAUCUUCUGCCCUGUUAAAUGUGAGAAUGGCCCUGAAGAUCUCAUCACAAGUUAGUGUUCUGCAGGGUGCUAGGGCAAGGUGUUCAUCUCUAGAGAACUGCAGCAGUAUGAUGUAAAGCAUUUCAAAUUUAUUUCAAACUCAAGUAUGUCAAUUACAUGCACUACAUCAAUUAUAUGUACUAUAUCAAUCAUACAUAUGUGUACACAUAUGUAUAUGUAUAUAUAUAGCAUAUGAAGUUGCUAACACCUGGAAUAAAAGCAGACAUAGGGUAUUCAAUGCAGUUAUAUCAGUGCAUAAGGCUGAAAACAUUAUGCACCUGAGGAAUGUCCCGGAUCUUGACAGUAUUUUCCUUAUGGGGAAGAGGGGUCUGGGGUCUUCAACUAUGUCAGUGUUUCUCGAGUCCCACUGCGCACGGACCAAACGGUAUAGCCACUGUCCUCUGGAGCACCUGGUUCUGGUGACAGAAAAAAUGAUGCAUUAGGAAAUGGGCAGUUGUGUACAACCGCAGCCACAGUUGGGUUAAUGCGGCAUUUGUGAGAAAGCGUUAUGUGGUUUCCUCAGGUGUUGGGGGAAAGAAGCCUAUCAUAUUUUUAAAGGUGCCUUUGUUACCAGGCAUAUAUCGGGCAUAAAUAAUGCUGAAAACCUCGUUUUACUGAAGUGCAUGCCUUGCUCUUAAAGGCAAUUUGAGGUAAAAGGCUAACAGAGAUAUUCUACGUCAUACUUUACAAGGACACAACUAAACAGAACGACAAACACAAUGUCAGAUGCAUUUAGAGUGAUCAGACAAUGGAAUUUUCAUUAUAUUCUGUGCCUGUCUGUUAAUGACUACUCAUAUUAAUUCAAAAGUAACCUGUAAUGUGUUAUGGGCAUUUCUUUGUAAUCAAGAUUCAGUAAGCUGUAAGUCUCAGGCAUUUUUCACUUUCGCACUUGGUAAAAUGAUGAGAGAGAAAUGUCUUCCUGGUUCAGAAAGAGACUAAGUAUCUUGGUAUGGUACUUACCGUGCAUGAACCAUGUACAAGUUUAACUUGCUAUUUAUAUACACAAUGCUGCAUUGCAAAACUGCCAUGAAAAUUUACUCGUGUAGCAGAAAAUCUGCUCCCCUGCCCUUUGCCUCAAUGAUUGAUGAUAAUGUAAAAUCUAAUUUUGAACUCGCUUAUUAAAAAAAAAAAAAAAAAAAAGUUCUCGACCAUCAGCAAAUGUAUAAAAUUUUGUGGUUUGAUAUAUUUUAAUGAAUGAUUCGAUUUCUCAAAGCAACUUGAAAUGGUGAAAAGUGUAGAUUAGGAGCAAAUUUCUCUGUUCACCCCUCCUCUCCUUCUGCUUCAAGGGCUAACCCUAAACCUAACCCUCUGUUCACCCCAUCCCUCCAUUUAUGGGCAGGACAUGACAGCUGCUCUUCUACUGAGGCCAAGAAGACAUUUUUCCCUGAUAUAGCUGUUAUGUUUACAGGUGUCUCAUAUGUGACAGCGGUCAUGGAGGAUGCUCCUGUUGGCAAGAAGGGGCACAAUACAGGCAGUGCUCUCAGGGUUAUGGUAAUUUAAGGUGCAGAUUUGGGGAAGUCAGGAUUGAUAGUGUCAAGAGGAUUUUUGCCCUUUCUAAUUUAUUUAUCAGCAGCCUCUGUCCCCAGUUGGGAUGGUCAGCGCUUUGCUGCAUAACUGAUGCCUGACUGAGGGACAAAUAAAGGUUAAAAUAAAUGUCCCAGCUAAUCUCAUCGGGCUUACUUAAGAAGACUGUGAUACACAGGAGGUCCUAUUUGAUAAUGCAAUGGCCCACUCAAUCUUUAAUGUCUCUUAGAGCAAUCCAGCCUCUAAUACAUCCUAGUUCUGGAAGAGGUAUCAGGUACAAGUCUGUCUGAUGAGACAGCUAACAGGUUGGACAAAUACGGCACUACUUUGUGAUAAGUUCUACAUCUAUAAGAUCUAUCUUUGUCCGUGCCAAAAAAUCAGGCUGAAAUGUCAGCCUCCUUUCAUGCCUAUCAGUCCUCUAGCAACUUCUCUGUGGCUCCAAGAGUGAAUCUGAAAUGGUAACACUCAUCUUCCUACAUGGGUACCCUUCGCCCAUUCUGCUGCAUCAGAUGGAAAUGUAAGGUGAAAAGAUGAGAGAGAGCCCUGUUUUUGGUUUUACUUUGGGCAGCAAGCUCACUGAAAAGGGAGGGGGAGAGAAGGAAGGAGAGAGGGACAGACAGAGGGAGAGGAAGGUGAAAGAGAAGAGGGAGAGAGCAGCCCCCCAGUUUUGUCAUUCAUUGUGAUGGAAAUGUUCUUUUAAAAUACACUUCUGACUUAGGGAGACUUGUCUUUCACAUUCAUUACACAGGUGUCAAAUCAAAUUUUGUCUUGCUAUGUCUUGUGCACUGGAGCAUGGUGCAUAUGACAUUUUGUAACAUGUUGCAACAUAAGGCAAUAAAUCAUACUGAAAGUGAAUAAAACCUCAUUUCUUUUUUGGGGGUGGGGUGGAUGAACCAAAUGGCACUGUGCUAAUUUCACUGUGCUUCUGUCAUUGUCAAGAAAAUCAUUUUCUUUCUCCCCUGUCCCUGGCGAGGGACUGUUUCUCAAAGCAGUUCCUCAAAGUAAAAUUCUCUGUCACCUAAGUUUUGGAUAUAUACCAUGCACCUAGGGGAUUGAUAACUUUUAGAAGGAAAUAUAUGCUUCAAAGCUCAAUAAAACUCCUUUGAGAAACAAGACAGACUUUAAAGCAUCUCCACCAGAGAAGUAAACCUAUUUUCAGCUAAGUGAAAAAAUUUUUAAGCUGCUGUGCAGCUGUGGCUUCUGGAGUAGCAGUGUAGGCAAAAGGAAGCCCGAUUGGGAGAUGCUUCCUUUUCUUUCCACAGGUGCACUGCUGGGCGAUUCUGAAUGCAACUCUGGAGGAGAUUUUGCAGCGAGUAGAUAGGUAUUGGGUGGGAAUAGCCCGGCUCGGUCUCCAGGAGGCCAGCAGCACUCUGCUCACGUGCCUAGCAGCACUCAAAUACCACGCUCCAUAAGAAAUGUCUGCGGGCUGCACGUGGGACUCUCCCUUCCCUUUGUAAGGGAAGUCUGCCAUGUCAAAGGUGGACGGGAGUUUAAGAGACUUUCAGACAGGACUCUUUCACUGGCUGAGUGAGGAAUCAGCCCUGGGAGUGCUGUGAUUGUUCCCAAGCGCCACUCACUCCAACGCUGCUGCCUCUGCACCAACAGAGUGAGGAGGGUCUUCUCCUGGCUCAGGGGUUCAAGCGGAUGCUGGGAAAAAAAAAAGCAGAGGAAUGCUUCCCCCUUGCUUUAGUUCAGAAUCCUGAUAAGGGCUGUGCCAGUGACAUCUUUAUCUUCAUUGUAAGUGUUAAUGCUUGGUGGCAUGACAGUGUGGACUUCUGUGACAAUGUUAUAAAUAACCUGAUGGUGAACUUGCCAAAACAAAAACGGAAAAAAAAGAAAAGAGACACUGCUCUUCCCAUCUAUAGGCAUCCUGCUAUCUGUUAAUACAGAUAUUAAUAUGAGAGUAUCUCAGAGGGUGUCUCUGGGAAAGAUCAAGGUGAUGAAAUGGAAUUACUAUUUGGAAAGUGAUAAGAAUUGCGCUAUGAAGCAAAUUCUUCAUAGCUAAAUGUACCCAACAGUUACUCGUAGGAACACGUUAUCAUUUCACUAUAUAUAUAAUGUGUUAGCAUUUCAGCAGGGAAAUUAUUUUUCUAUGAAUUAUUCAUCUUCCGUAGUCAUGUAAUGGGGCAGUGACUUCUUUUAUCAACAAAAUACUUUUUAUUGACACUCAGAACUGCAUUUAAUUGAGCCCAUUCCCCCAAUUAUCGUCAGAAAAGAGUUUACACUGACGUUUUGGAAAAAUGUUAUAGGAAGAUUUAUCAGAGCCGCAAAAAAAAAAGCUGCCCAUGAACUAAUGGAAUUAGAUUAUCUUUGAAUUUUCUCCACCAGAACUUAGAAUGGCCACUAAUUCCUUUCUUUGCUCUUUUGGUGUUUGCAAAGGGGUUCACUAAAGCCUGAAUUGAUAUAAUUAUUGGCUUGGAUUGUUAGAGAUUUAGGCCAGAUGGCUAUGGGUUUCUAAAGUCCCAGUUGCUUGUGUUAGCUUUUCUAGUUUGCCUAUAGGGUUUGGGGAUCAGCAAUUUGAAAGGGCUGCAAACUUGUAAAACAGUGUUAUUCAUGGGGGCAGAAUGUUCAUCGGCGUGACCCAGUACUAAAUACAUUCAUUAUAGGCAUUUCUAUUCUGCACAAUUUGCCACACGGCGCUGGUUUGUGAAAAAAAGAGACAAUGGCUUAUAAAAUGCUUCUGAAUGCUUAAAAAGAAGGAGAGUUCACGCUGAGCCUCCUCUGCUUUCUCUUUCAACAAGAACCUUCUUAGUGACUUUGGCUGAGCUCUGCGGAGAGCAAGUAAAUUGGAAGAAGAGGAGAUUUACUUUUUACAUUUCUGGACAUGGCAGGGAGAAUAUCUGAGAGAAAAAAAAAAAAAAGAAAAAAGCAAUAAAAGAGAGCGAUGGUGAGAUUAUGUGAAACGCCAAUAAACAAGUGGGAGAAGUUAGCAGGGAAACAAUGGGAAGCGCGGCGAGGCUGUAGUAGCUAAAAUGAUAAACUAAAGGGGAAACAGGGAUCACGUCAUGAGCAUACAGGAGGAGAUAUCUGCUUGGGAGACCUGGCUGCAGCGCGGAGCUCGUGCAGCCAUCUGUGCCGUUUCUGGGACACAUCACUCGCCCAGCCCGCAGAUGAUUUUAUUUCUUGGUGCAAGUUGCCAUGCAAACAUGAGAACAGCUCCCGGCAGUAGAGGAGGCUGAGGGGAGCGAUCACUUUCGGAGCGCUCCGUCUGCCCCACGGCCCCUUCUCUCAGACGCUCGGCACGAGCGAGGCGCAGGGCGGAGGAAACGGAUCUGAGGAACCGGGCAACGGCACACGGCAAAGCGCACGCACAGCCGCGCUGGGGCACACGCGCUGAGGGUAGAACAGCAGCGGGAGGAGACGCGGGCUGCCCGAGAGCGGGCAGUGUCACUGAGUGGGCACGCAGCGCGGAGACUCCAAGGAGUGAGAGGAGCUCUCCGCGCACAGACAGACACUGAGGAGCGGCAGCUGACAGGGAGACAAGCGGCACCGAGGCGCUUGCGAAGCAGUUAGCUGCUUCCUUCCCUCCCCCCCCCCCCCCCCCCAUCCCGCUCAUAGCCUGGGGAGCGAGCAGUUAACUAAACGGGAGGACCACGCUGUGCCAGCGGGGUGGCGGCCGUGGCGGGACCGGGACCCCUCAGAACGCUGAGGGCGCGAAGCCUCCGGCGCUGCC
rnacentral:lncRNA from 1 species